rnacentral:rRNA from 1 species
CGUAUGCAACCUACCUAUCAGAGGGGAAUAACCCGGCGAAAGUCGGACUAAUACCGCAUAAAACAGGGCACCGCAUGGUGAUAUUUGUUAAAGAAAUUCGCUGAUAGAUGGGCAUGCGUUCCAUUAGGUAGUUGGUGAGGUAACGGCUCACCAAGCCGACGAUGGAUAGGGGAACUGAGAGGUUGGUCCCCCCACACUGGUACUGAGACACGGACCAGACUCCUACGGGAGGCAGCAGUGAGGAAUAUUGGUCAAUGGGCGGGAGCCUGAACCAGCCAAGUCGGCCGUGAAGGAAGAAGGAUCUAUGGUUCGUAAACUUCUUUUGCAGGGGAAUAAAGUGCAGGACGUGUCCUGUUUUGUAUGUACCCUGAGAAUAAGGAUCGGCUAACUCCGUGCCAGCCGCCGC